UGUACAGCAAACGCAGCAAAAUCCACUUAGCCGUCAGGCGUAUUUAUUGAUCGAAAUCUUACAGAAGCCCUUAAGCCAAAAUUCUUGUUUUUCUGUUGAUCAAUAGGCGUGCUUCAAGUCGUGUAGACGGCCUCCCUGCUAGAUGCUGAAGGCCCGGGUACCCUGCAACAUAAGUCAGAGGUUUAGCGGAGGUGAGGACAAGAAUUUGUCAGUAUCAAGAGAGUGGCCAGGACGUAGGCUGCAGCCUGGCUCAAAUUUCCCCGAGCACUCUCACUCUGCGGAAAACAAGACAGGUGAUCAGACUGCCCAGGUAGACCGGGGAGUAUGCUACUUACAGGAAGUAGGUCUGCAGUGUCUGUUCCCUCCUCAUCCAAGACAAGAGGUCUUCCCGGCUUCUGCGGACCCCAAAGGGUGCCCAGAUCGUGGCUCCACCGCGCUGGGGGGCUCGUCCCCGGGAAGGUCUUCUCUAGGAAUCCCCUGUGAACAGAAGCGGAGAUGAGUACGAGGCGCAUGAGACCCGUAAAGCUGGCCUUACCUUUCGAGAGAGAGGACUCCACUUCACCUGGUCAACAGUUAGGAGCAGCACCUCUCAGGUGUUAGGCAGCUCGCAUCUGCCCCGAGUGGUCCGCUGCAGCUCUUUUUAUUACGGCCGGCCCCUCAAGUCGCAGCUGAUGGGAUAGACUGGAGGGAGAGUCUCACCCUCAGCAGCGCCCUCCCCCUGGCUCAGGUUCUCGGUGGCUGAUUCGGCGUCCUCGCCUGCGACCUGUUCGCGUGGAGAAUCUUCAUUUUUUUGCUAAAGCUGAUCUUUUGUCGCGCCCGCCAUCAGUAUCCCAAAUAUCGCAAUAAUUGGGGUUCUCAGCAUUCGGUGAAU